GCCCACUACGUCUCAGUGGGCGUCCCAAAGAACCUUAGAUAGGGUCUCUUCCUAGUCCGUUCCGGAAAUGCGACUGCGUACGGGCUCGCCACGUGAUAGUGACGUCAGCGCGCCCGCGCCGUCUGGCCGGACGCCUAAGACUUCCGCGAGAUUUUCGGUGGGUGUACGGCUGCUUUACGCCACGGGCGUUGCUGCGUUUGGGUUCUCUUCUGCAGGCUCCCUGCACCUGGUCACGAUUUACAAUGUACCACAAUAGUAGCCAGAAGCGGCACUGGACUUUCUCCGGUGAAGAGCAGCUGGCAAGAUUGCGGGCCGACGCCAACCGCAAAUUCAGAUGCAAAGCAGUGGCCAACGGGAAGGUUCUUCCGAAUGAUCCAGUCUUUCUUGAGCCUCAUGAAGAAAUGACACUCUGCAAAUACUAUGAGAAAAGGUUACUGGAAUUCUGUUCAGUGUUUAAGCCAGCAAUGCCAAGGUCUGUUGUGGGUACAGCUUGUAUGUAUUUCAAGCGUUUUUAUCUUAAUAAUUCAGUAAUGGAAUAUCACCCCAGGAUAAUAAUGCUCACUUGUGCAUUUUUGGCCUGCAAAGUAGAUGAAUUCAAUGUAUCUAGUCUUCAGUUUGUUGGAAACCUUCGGGAGAGUCCUCUUGGACAGGAGAAGGCACUUGAACAGAUACUAGAAUAUGAACUACUGCUUAUACAGCAACUUAAUUUCCACCUUAUUGUCCACAAUCCUUACAGACCAUUUGAAGGCUUCCUCAUUGACUUAAAGACCCGAUAUCCCAUGUUGGAGAAUCCAGAGAUUUUGAGGAAAACAGCUGAUGACUUUCUUAAUAGAAUUGCAUUGACGGAUGCUUACCUUUUAUACACACCUUCCCAGAUUGCCCUGACUGCCAUUUUAUCUAGUGCCUCCAGGGCUGGAAUUACUAUGGAAAGUUAUUUAUCAGAGAGUCUGAUGCUGAGAGAGAACAGAACUUGCCUGUCACAGUUACUAGAUAUAAUGAAAAGCAUGAGAAACUUAGUAAAAAAGUAUGAACCACCCAGAUCUGAAGAAGUUGCUGUUCUGAAACAGAAGUUGGAGCGAUGUCAUUCUGCUGAGCUUGCACUUAAUGUAAUCUCGAAGAAGAGGAAAGGCUAUGAAGAUGAUGAUUAUGUCUCAAAGAAAUCCAAACAGGAGGAGAUCGCCAAACUUUGGCAUCAGAGCAAGGUCCACACUUACCACUGAAAAUUUUCCCACCCAGCCCCAUUAAAAAAGUUAAAGUUUGAGAGAUUUUAUUUCAACACUGACAAGCUAGUUACUACCUACAAAGAUUUUCCAAUAUUCUGAAGAGCCUGUGUUUAAUAAGAAAGAAUGAAGCUGAGAGGGCCAAACAGAUGAACAGAUGAAAAUGAAGAUUCAUGGUAGCAUUCAAAUCCCUGGUUCCAGAUACCCCUGAGAUUCCAAUUGCAAACUAUAUUUCCCUUAGUUUAGUUGUUCAUCGCAUCCUUUGAUAAGCUCUAGACCGGACACAGGAGACCCAGUGAAAUGGUCUCUAGGCUCCUUCACAGGUUUAAAAAAUUAUUGGCUCCUAAAGAACUUCUGUUUUUAUAGGUUAUAGCUGUCAAUAUUUACUGUAUUAGAAAUUAUAACUGAGAAAAUUUUAAAUGUUUACAAAUUAAUUUUUAAAAUAACACAUAAUGGAGUAACUGUUAAUGCAGGUAACAUAUUCUUCAUGUAAAAUAUAUUCUCCAAAAAAAUGUAUGAGAAAAGAGUAGCACCAACUUACAUUUUUGUACAAAUUUUUACUAUCUAACUUAAUAGAAGAUAGUUAGAUUUCCUUAUCUGUUUCUGCAUUCAAUAUGUUGCUCUAUAUUGCUUUGGUUCAUAGUAUAUGAAGAAUAUUACUUAAUACAGUUACUUGUAAGUUAGAUGAAAUGUAUAAUCUCACCACAUCUAUAAACAUCUGCACUCUAUUCCAUUAAAAUCCACUGGUCUAUCAUUUACUGAUGCUUAUCACGAGUUGCAUCACGCAGCGGUCAUCUGAAAAAUAUCACUUCACUGAGCUAUGCAGAUCUUCCAGAUAUUAACACAUUUGAUUACAGUAUCAAAACAUUACAUUCCUUAUAUAUCACCAGGAUGCAGUAAAGGAUUAAUAACUUAGUAGGGCUAGGCUGUCCACACCCUCGAUAUUCCAAAGAAAAGGGCCGGCCCUUGCCCACCUCCUGGGAGUUAACCUCUAAGCCACUGAAAUAUCCUGCUUAAUAAAAAUAUCCUUUGUUUACUGAAAACCUUGAGCCACACCAUUCAGAUUAUACUAACAAUGUAAUUUAUGGUAGGGGCCUUGGUCCAUGUAAUAUCAGUCUGACCUCUGGAGUCAAAACAGAUGGAGUUACUAAAGUCAGCAAUGUGGGCACUUUAGGCCUUAAAAUCCCUGGACACCAAGACUCUGGUGAGUUCUCCUGGUUGGUAAUAUUUGACACGUGUUGUCACAUACUGUUGCUGGGAAGAUUAAGCACUGUCCCUAUGACUCCCCUGGGACAAAGCAACUGGAAGCUUGCAUCUAGUCUCUGCCCUAUGCACCUCUUUUGAUUGCUGAUUUUAAACUGCAACCUUCUGCUAUAAUAAACUAUUACUGUGAGUAUAA